rnacentral:rRNA from 1 species
GAUGAACGCUGGCGGUGUGCCUAAUACAUGCAAGUCGAACGAGAUCUUCGGAUCUAGUGGCGGACGGGUGAGUAACACGUUGGUACCUACCCCUAAGUGGGGAGUAACUGCCCGAAACGGGUGGCUAAUACCGCAUAAUCCCGCAAGGGUAAAGCAGUAAUGCGCUUAGGGAGGGGCCGUGCGUCUGAUUAGCUAGUUGGUGAGGUAAUUGCUCACCAAGGCGACGAUCAGUAGCUGGAUCGAGAGGUUGACCAGCCACACUGGGACUGAGAUACGGCCCAGACUCCUACGGGAGGCAGCAGUAAGGAAUCUUCCACAAUGGACGAAAGUCUGAUGGAGCAACACCGCGUGCA